AACGAACGCUGGCGGCAUGCCUAACACAUGCAAGUCGAACGAGACCUUCGGGUCUAGUGGCGCACGGGUGCGUAACGCGUGGGAACCUGCCCUUAGGUUCGGAAUAACUCCCCGAAAGGGGUGCUAAUACCGGAUAAUGUCUUCGGACCAAAGAUUUAUCGCCUUUGGAUGGGCCCGCGUUGGAUUAGCUAGUUGGUAGGGUAAAAGCCUACCAAGGCGACGAUCCAUAGCUGGUCUGAGAGGAUGAUCAGCCACACUGGGACUGAGACACGGCCCAGACUCCUACGGGAGGCAGCAGUGGGUAAUAUUGGACAACGGGCGAAAGCCUGAUCCAGCAAUGCCGCGUGAGUGAUGAAGGCCUUAGGGUUGUAAAGCUCUUUUACCCGGGAUGAUAAUGACAGUACCGGGAGAAUAAGCUCCGGCUAACUCCGUG
rnacentral:rRNA from 1 species